AUGGGCUCAGCCAUGACUGUUUAUCAAACUGAGGACCUGACCUUUAUUCUGUGUAUAAUAAAAUGUCACAGGAGGAAUAUAAUCAAAGUGCUGACAUGGUCAGAAUUUAGUUUUGCAAGAAUGAAGAAAAGAAAAUCUGGUAACACUGGGAAUGCUGACACAUCCGGAGCUGUACUUAACAGAUUACACCCAGUAACUUCAUUUACACCUGGGACUGAUUGAAAUGAUUUCGAGCAGAUGCUCUAAUGGGAUGAAACUCUGAGGAAACUUAGAAGUGGCCAAUAAACACAUGAGCAGAUGUUUCUCAUCACUGAUCAUCAGGGAAAGGCACAUUAAAAUCACAAUGAGACAUUCUUACACAUUCACCAGCAGGGCUAACCUGGAAAAGAUUGACAAUACCACGUGUUGGAGAGAAUGUGCACUACUGGAAAGUAUAUGACUCAGAUACUUGGGAAAAAAGUUUGGCCAAUUCUUCUAAAGUGAAACUAUAUAUGCCAUGUGACCCAACAAUGCUACUCUUGUGUAUUUACUUGACAGAAGUGAAAGCAUAUGUUUACACAAACAAUUGUACAGAAACUUUCAUAGCAGCUUUAUUUAUAAUAGUCAAAAACUAGAAAUAAUGCAGCAGGUGACAGGAUACAGGAACAGGUGAAUAGAUAACUGUGGUACAUCCUCCUCCCAGUCAAUGGUUGAGCACAGAGGAGGUGCUGAUUCAGGUCCAUUCAUAGGAGAUACAAGCCUUCUCUGGAGCAUACUCCCCUGGCUUGCCAAAGCUUUCUUGGAGUUCUAGUUUGCGCUCUAAGAAUCUCUUUUACCCCCUCUUCCUGCCUUCCUCCCUUCUUUGACAGGUGUGAGAGCUGCAUUGCUCUGUAGGCUCUCCGCACCUUGAGUCUUCUCUCCUUUAUCCUUCACAUUAUUUCUCCUAUAUCUUUUCCAUUGCUAAUCCUGUUGUGUCAUCUGCUUCUCAGAGUAUGUGAAUUAUGAAAAUAAUUCAGCUGGCCUGGCCUGAGGGUAGGGGCAUAAAGGAAAUUUCGGAGUGAUGGGAAAAUGUUCUAGAUGUUUAUCAUUGUGGUGGUUAUAUUUGUUUUUGUCAAGACCUAUUGAAAUGUAUACUUAAAAUGAACAUAUUUUAUUCCUCAAUAAAAUUGAUUAAAAAAUAAUCCCAAAUGGUGCUAUGGCAGCACUAGGUAACAUGUUUUGCACAGACAACAAAGCAAAGAAGAUAAGAAAUCUGCAAGGCACUAACAAAAACAUAAUCUUUACUUAUUUGGAGGUUACAUUUAUAAUCCUCAGUGAUCAUAAAUCUCUUUGCAAGGAUAGGCCUAUACUAUUAGGUCACUGUGGUGACUUAUUCAUUAGCAGGCAUGAAAUAGUUAAGUAAUAAAAGCCUGGAUGGUGGUAGCAGGGGCAAUAAUUGAAUGAAACAGAGACAUUACCUAUAAGUAAUGGCUUUCUAAAAAAAUGGAUAGAGUUUUUUGAGGUAGCUAUUUAUCUGAAUAUUAUUUUUGCCUCAAUCUGGAAUGGCCCCUGUAUUUGUAACCACUGAUGGUGCAGGGUGAGAUGGUGUACUGAGACAGCAGCCAGCAUAUUUUAUAAAGCAGGAACAUUGGAGAGAAAAGGCAGCCCUCUUACCAGUGUAUCUAAAUUCUCCUUUUCCUCAUUGGUCCUUCCCCUAGAUUGUGACUUCCAUGAAAAUACCAGGGGAUCUAUCCUUUCUCUCUGUUUCUGGAUUGGCUAGCUCACCAUAGGCAACCAAUAUAUUUUUAUUGAAUAAAUCAUUCAAUGAAUAACUUUCCAUCACAAUCCUGCUUCUCAUGAGGCAACUUUGCAAAACAUUCCUUGUUCAUUUUCUUCCAGACUCAGCUGAGUACCUGUAAUGACAUGAUUAUUUCAUUGAUGUUGUUUUUCUUCAUUUACUGUGUAUUUUUACUAGCAGGCUUAGCCUUUACUAAAAACUAAGAAACUGGAUCAAAAGAGGAUCCUGCUAUUCUAAUUGAGGUCAGAGAGCUUCUGUUUCACGGCAUCCCAAGUGCAGAUGGUUUGUGGCAUGUAAUUGAACUGCUAGGUUGCUCAAUCUGAAUGUAGUCUUUUCAAGGUGACUUUGUCACAGCAGAACAAUUAGAAAUGUCAAAAUCCAUAGGAUACAAGAUUUUUUAUCGUAUACUUUUUAAGAACUCUAUAGGGCAGCAGUGUGAAGAAAUCAAUAG
rnacentral:lncRNA from 1 species